rnacentral:rRNA from 1 species
CCUUUGUACACACCGCCCGUCGCUACUACCGAUUGAACGGCUCAGUGAGGCCUUCGGACUGGCUCAGGGAGGUCGGCAACGACCACCCGGAGCCGGAAAGUUCGUCAAACUUGGUCGUUUAGAGGA